rnacentral:rRNA from 1 species
UGGGGAAUUUUGGACAAUGGGCGAAAGCCUGAUCCAGCAAUGCCGCGUGUGUGAAGAAGGCCUUCGGGUUGUAAAGCACUUUUGUCCGGAAAGAAAUCCUUGGCUCUAAUACAGUCGGGGGAUGACGGUACCGGAAGAAUAAGCACCGGCUAACUACGUGCCAGCAGCCGCGGUAAUACGUAGGGUGCAAGCGUUAAUCGGAAUUACUGGGCGUAAAGCGUGCGCAGGCGGUUUGCUAAGACCGAUGUGAAAUCCCCGGGCUCAACCUGGGAACUGCAUUGGUGACUGGCAGGCUAGAGUAUGGCAGAGGGGGGUAGAAUUCCACGUGUAGCAGUGAAAUGCGUAGAGAUGUGGAGGAAUACCGAUGGCGAAGGCAGCCCCCUGGGCCAAUACUGACGCUCAUGCACGAAAGCGUGGGGAGCAAACAGGAUUAGAUACCCUGGUAGUCCACGCCCUAAACGAUGUCAACUAGUUGUUGGGGAUUCAUUUCCUUAGUAACGUAGCUAACGCGUGAAGUUGACCGCCUGGAGAGUACGGUCGCAAGAUUAAAACUCAAAGGAAUUGACGGGGUCAUAGCUGUUUCC